CCACAGUUGGACCCUCAGCCACCCCAGCUAAUAAUUCUAAUUUAAUAGAGAAUUCCACAGCUGAUCCCUUACCCAUCCCAGCUAAUAACUCUAAUCCAUCAGGUACCAUUGUUCAACUGUAGCUUGAAAUAUAUCUUGGAAUAUAUCUUUCUCCA
rnacentral:lncRNA from 1 species